CAAUAGCGUAUAUUAAAGUUGUUGCAGUUAAAAAGCUCGUAGUUGGACUUCUGCGGGUGGCGGCCGGUCGUGCUCGAAACGGGCGUGAACUUGGCGUGCUGCCCGCAUCUUUGGGGAGAUUGUGCGUGGCAUUAAGUUGUCGUGCAUGGGAUUCUCAUCAUUUACUGUGAAAAAAUUAGAGUGUUUAAAGCAGGCCUUUGCCUUGAAUACAUUAGCAUGGAAUAAUAAGAUAGGACCGUUGUCUAUUUUGUUGGUUUACAGAUGUCGGUAAUGAUUAAUAGGGAUAGUUGGGGGUAUUCGUAUUCAGUUGUCAGAGGUGAAAUUCUUGGAUUUUCGGAAGACGCACGACUGCGAAAGUAUUUACCAAGGAUGUUUUCAUUAA
rnacentral:rRNA from 1 species